rnacentral:rRNA from 1 species
UAGGGAAUCUUCCACAAUGGACGCAAGUCUGAUGGAGCAACGCCGCGUGAGUGAAGAAGGCUUUCGGGUCGUAAAACUCUGUUAUUGAAGAAGAACGUGUGUGACAGUAACUGGUCAUGCAGUGACGGUAUUCAAUCAGAAAGUCACGGCUAACUACGUGCCAGCAGCCGCGGUAAUACGUAGGUGGCAAGCGUUGUCCGGAUUUAUUGGGCGUAAAGCGAGUGCAGGCGGUCUUUUAAGUCUGAUGUGAAAGCCUUCGGCUUAACCGAAGAAGGGCAUCGGAAACUGGGAGACUUGAGUGCAGAAGAGGAGAGUGGAACUCCAUGUGUAGCGGUGAAAUGCGUAGAGAUUAGGAAGAACACCAGUGGCGAAGGCGGCUCUCUGGUCUGCAUACUGACGCUGAGGCUCGAAAGCAUGGGUAGCAG